UUUUUUUUUUUUUUUUUUUUUUUUUUUUUUUUGAGACGGAGCUUCGCUCUUGUUACCCAGGCUGGAGUGCAAUGGCGCGAUCUCGGCUCACCGCAACCUCCGCCUCCUGGGUUCAGGCAAUUCUCCUGCCUCAGCCUCCUGAGUAGCUGGGAUUACAGGCACGCGCCACCAUGCCCAGCUAAUUUUUUGUAUCUUUAGUAGAGACGGGGUUUCACCAUGUUGACCAGGAUGGUCUCGAUCUCUUGACCUCGUGAUCCACCCGCCUCGGCCUCCCAAAGUGCUAGGAUUACAGGCGUGAGCCACCGCGCCCGGCCUAUCCCUUGUGCUUUUGGUGGUGGUUGUUUCUGUGUUUGAUUACCGCUUCCUACAUUCUAAGGAAAAAAUUCAUGCCUUAAUGACAGACGGAAGUUACUCAAAGAUCAGAAAGGAUCCAGAUCAAGCACUUUUCCAGUCAUGCUGUAAUACAAAAGUUAUAUAAAGAUAAUUUAUGUCUUUAGUAAAGGAAAAAGUAGGACACUAGCUAAGGCUGCCUCCCUCUCAUACAUUCCAGCAUCGGAAACGGUCCUACCACAAAGCAAACUCAGCCUAAUAUAAUUAGACUGCAUCCCCAAAACGUCACGGGUGAAUUGACAAAGGCAAAAUGUUUGAGACAAGUCAUACAAAGCAAACAUCAAACAAAAAGAAUGCGGAAGACCUCGCUUUCCGCUAAAGACCUUGCUAAUUCUAGAGCUGCUACUGUGGAAAUACAGAGCACCUACCCUGCGCCUAACCCUGUGAUGGGUGCUGAGAACAGAGUGAUAGAGAGGAGGCCAUAAAAGACAGACAAAACUAGGUAAGGAAGACUUCGAGCAUCCAGCGGAAGGACUUGAACUUGAGGAAACAGGGCUGAAUGAACCAAGCUUCUAACCUAGAUGAGGAGACAGUGAAAAUAAAGAUGCAGAAACUGAGGCUGGAAGAAUUAAAUGCCUUGGUCAAGACAUCUCCAUUUAAUCUCACUGGAACUCAGUAGCACCUGAAAGAAUGGGAGAACAAUGUGAGACAGUUUUGCAAAAUGACUGAUAGAAGCACUAAGAGCUCUUGGAAUUAAGACAAUGGAGAGAUUGACACAAGUUAGAGCAUUCAACAACAUUUUUUGCUUAGUUUUAUUUUUUUAGAGAUACCACCUCACUCUGUUGCCCAGGCUGGAGUGCAGUGGCACUAUCAUAGAUCACUGCAACCUCAAACUCCUGGGCCCAAGUGAUCCUCCUGCUGUAGCCUCCCUAGUAGCUCAGACUACAGAUAUGCACCACUGUGCCUGGUUAAUUUUUGUGGGGUUUUUUUUGUUUUAGUUUUGGGGAGUUUUUUGGGGGGGGGGGUUGAGAUGGAUCCUUGCUCUGUCACCUAGGCUGGUAUGCAAUGGUGCAAUCUCAGCUCACUGCAACCUCCACCUCCCAGGCUCCAGUGAUUCUCCUGCUUCAGCCUCCUGAAUAUCUGGGAUUUGUAUUUAGCCACUACACUCAGCUAAUUUUUGUAUUUUUAGUAGAGAUGGGAUUUCACCAUGUUGCCCAGGCUGGUCUUGAACUCCUGAUCUCAGGCGAUCCACACGCCUUAGCCUCCCGAAGUGCUGGGAUUAUAGGUGUGAGCCACUGUGCCGCCAUGUUUUUGUUUUUGUAGCGAAGGAGUCUUGCAGCAUUGCCCAGGCUGGUCUCAAGCUCCAGGCCUCAAGGGAUCCUCCUGCCUCAGCCUCCCAACAACAACAUUUAUUGAGUAACCGCUAUAUAAACAGUACCCUGCUAGAUACUGUGAAGCAAUUGGCUCACAUUAAGUAUUGAUGAUAAAUAUAUAGAUAAAGAAUUGCAAUACAGUAAAACGUGUGUCAGAGAUUUAGGUUCAAGGUACUGUGGAGUGGAGUGCUGCACCUGGGGGAGGUCAGCGAGGCUUCACAGAGAAGAUAGUGUUUGAAAUGGUUCUUGUAGGAUAUAUUAUAUGAGAGUUUGUCAGGCUGAGACAAGUCAAAUCUGGCAAACAGAUCAUGUACAGAAAGAGAGAGAAAGGAGCAGCUGAAAGUACAGGGCAGGAUUGAGAAUCAGAGAGAGAUUUGGUGUGUCUAGAGGUCAAGCAUAUAUAAUAGUUUGUAAGAAUUACACCAGAAAGAGAAUGGGGCCAUGUUGUAUGCCAAGAGAAGGAGUUUGCACAUUAACCUCCAGGAAAUGCACAAAUGGUGAAGGUUUUUUAGAGUGACAAAGCUACAAUGGGGAGGAGAAUUUUGAGCCCAAGGAAAGGUAGCACCUGAGCUUAACUUUGAAUGCCAUUUAGGACUGGAUAAACAGAGAAGAGGGGAGUAUAGAGCCUAAAUAGAGGCUUAGAGUCCUGACAGAUAAGUUACAGGGACCAUGAGACUAGCCAGAUGAGAAGGUUAAUCUUUAGAAAGUAGUAGAAGGUGGCAGAGCAGGAGGAAAAGGUUACAGAGUGAAGAAUCUUGAGUAGCUGGAUGAAGUUGGAUUUCAUCUGAUGGGCAAACUGGGCAGCUACUGGACUUUUGAUCAUGUUUUAGGUAGUGACGUGCUAUGAAUUGAAUUAGGAAGACAGGAAGCAUCAAGUACUAGCUAUGUGGCAGUAAAAAUAAUCUCUACUUGAAAUGAUGAACAGUUGCUGAUGGCAAUGAGACUAAAUGGGAAAGAAUGGACUUUCACAAUGUUUUUAAAGAUGAACCACAUGUUUUAAAAGAUGUUGAUCACAA